UACGGGCAGGCUAGAGUGCAGUAGGGGAGACUGGAAUUCCUGGUGUAGCGGUGAAAUGCGCAGAUAUCAGGAGGAACACCGAUGGCGAAGGCAGGUCUCUGGGCUGUAACUGACGCUGAGGAGCGAAAGCAUGGGUAGCGAACAGGAUUAGAUACCCUGGUAGUCCAUGCCGUAAACGUUGGGCACUAGGUGUGGGGGACAUUCCACGUUUUCCGCGCCGUAGCUAACGCAUUAAGUGCCCCGCCUGGGGAGUACGGCCGCAAGGCUAAAACUCAAAGGAAUUGACGGGGGCCCGCACAAGCGGCGGAGCAUGCGGAUUAAUUCGAUGCAACGCGAAGAACCUUACCAAGGCUUGACAUGGACUAGAUCGCCGCAGAGAUGCGGUUUCCCUUCGGGGCUGGUUCACAGGUGGUGCAUGGUUGUCGUCAGCUCGUGUCGUGAGAUGUUGGGUUAAGUCCCGCAACGAGCGCAACCCUCGUUCUAUGUUGCCAGCACGUUAUGGUGGGGACUCAUAGGAGACUGCCGGGGUCAACUCGGAGGAAGGUGGGGACGACGUCAAAUCAUCAUGCCCCUUAUGUCUUGGGCUUCACGCAUGCUACAAUGGCCGGUACAAAGGGUUGCGAUACUGUGAGGUGGAGCUAAUCCCAAAAAGCCGGUCUCAGUUCGGAUUGGGGUCUGCAACUCGACCCCAUGAAGUCGGAGUCGCUAGUAAUCGCAGAUCAGCAACGCUGCGGUGAAUACGUUCCCGGGCCUUGUACACACCACCCGUCAAGUCACGAAAGUUGGUAACACCCGAAGCCGGUGGCCUAACCCCUUGUGGGAGGGAGCUGUCGAAGGUGGGACUGGCGAUUGGGACUAAGUCGUAACAAGGUACCAAUCCCGCGGC
rnacentral:rRNA from 1 species